AUUGAACGCUGGCGGCAUGCCUUACACAUGCAAGUCGAACGGCAGCACGGGGGCAACCCUGGUGGCGAGUGGCGAACGGGUGAGUAACAUAUCGGAACAUACCCUAGAGUGGGGGAUAACGUAGCGAAAGUUACGCUAAUACCGCAUACGAUCUAAGGAUGAAAGUGGGGGAUCUUCGGACCUCAUGCUCAUGGAGUGGCCGAUAUCUGAUUAGCUAGUUGGUGAGGUAAAGGCUCACCAAGGCGACGAUCAGUAGCUGGUCUGAGAGGACGACCAGCCACACUGGAACUGAGACACGGUCCAGACUCCUACGGGAGGCAGCAGUGGGGGAAUUUUGGACAAUGGGCGCAAGCCUGAUCCAGCAAUGCCGCGUGCAGGGAUGAAGGCCUUCGGGUUGUAACU
rnacentral:rRNA from 1 species